rnacentral:rRNA from 1 species
GACGGGGGGGUGCGAGCGUUGUCCGGAAUCACUGGGCGUAAAGGGCGCGUAGGUGGUCUGAUAAGGGUGUGGUGAAAGCCCGGGGCUCAACCCCGGGUCGGCCGUGCCGACUGUUAGACUAGAGUGCUGUAGGGGCAGGCGGAAUUCCGGGUGUAGCGGUGGAAUGCGUAGAGAUCCGGAGGAAGACCGGUGGCGAAGGCGGCCUGCUGGGCAGAUACUGACACUGAGGCGCGACAGCGUGGGGAGCAAACAGG